AUCGCUUCUUGGCCUUUUGGCUAAGAUCAAGUCUAGUAUAUUCCAGAUAGACUCAGCUUCUCUAUCUACUGAGCUCACUGAAGUGGGCUAUAAAGUGGCUUCUUGCUCCCCAAAGAGUACGUGGUACGUGAGUGGAGCCAUUUUUAUUUUGUUUUUUGUUUUUGGUACCGGGGAUUGAACUCCGGACCUUGAGCUCAUGAGGCGGGCAGCAGUGCCACUGAGCUAAAUUCUC
rnacentral:snRNA from 1 species